rnacentral:guide_RNA from 1 species
AUAAUCAUAACAGAGCAUAGAAUACAGUUUAUAGUGAUUAAUUU